rnacentral:rRNA from 1 species
GAGACAGUUCGGUCCCUAUCUGCCAUGGGCGAAGGAUACUUGAGAGGAUCUGUUCAUAGUACGAGAGGACCUGAAUGGACGCACCUCUAGUGUUCCAGUUGUCCCGCCAGGGGCAUAGCUGGGUAGCUAUGUGCGGAACGGAUAACCGCUGAAAGCAUCUAAGCGGGAAGCCGGCCUCAAGAUUAGGUAUCCCGGGCCGCAAGGCCCCUGAAGGCCCCUCGUAGACUACGAGGAGAUAGGCAGGGUGUGGAAGCGUAGAGAUACGUGAAGCUGACCUGUACUAAUCGGCCGUGAGGCUUGACC